GACGAACGCUGGCGGCAGGCCUAACACAUGCAAGUCGAGCGCCCCGCAAGGGGAGCGGCGGACGGGUGAGUAACGCGUGGGAAUAUGCCCUUUGCUACGGAAUAGUCUCGGGAAACUGGGGGUAAUACCGUAUACGCCCUUUGGGGGAAAGAUUUAUCGGCGAAGGAUUAGCCCGCGUUGGAUUAGGUAGUUGGUGGGGUAAUGGCCUACCAAGCCGACGAUCCAUAGCUGGUUUGAGAGGAUGAUCAGCCACACUGGGACUGAGACACGGCCCAGACUCCUACGGGAGGCAGCAGUGGGGAAUCUUAGACAAUGGGGGCAACCCUGAUCUAGCCAUGCCGCGUGAGUGAUGAAGGCCUUAGGGUUGUAAAGCUCUUUCAGCUGGGAAGAUAAUGACGGUACCAGCAGAAGAAGCCCCGGCUAACUCCGUG
rnacentral:rRNA from 1 species